AGUGGGAUGCUGGGUCAAAUGGUGGUUCCAAGUUUUCUGAGGAUUCUCUAUACUGCUUUCCAGAGUAGUUGCACCAAUUUGCAGUCCCACCAGCAAU
rnacentral:pre_miRNA from 1 species